rnacentral:rRNA from 1 species
UACGUAGGGGGCAAGCGUUGUCCGGAUUUAUUGGGCGUAAAGAGCGUGUAGGCGGCUAGAUAGGUCCGUUGUGAAAACUCGAGGCUCAACCUCGAGACGUCGAUGGAAACUUUCUGGCUAGAGUCCGGAAGAGGAGAAUGGAAUUCCUGGUGUAGCGGUGAAAUGCGCAGAUAUCAGGAAGAACACCCGUGGCGAAGGCGGUUCUCUGGGACGGUACUGACGCUGAGACGCGAAAGCGUGGGGAGCGAACAGG